UGUGAUUAUCUUGUGUACAAUAAAUAUACUUCCAAUGUUGCUCAUUCAUUUAGGUUUUACAUAAAUAAAAUGUAUUAUGUUAUUAUUGUUGCUGUUGUUGGUACGUUUAAAAUAUGGCAUGCUUUAACACUAUAUUACUUUUUAAAACAGUAUCUCCAUGCCCUUUUAAACCGCAUAUUUGUGGUUGAUCCUCUGCAAGGGUUAAAUGAAGUUGACGACUCCAGAAAGGCUGGCCAAAGAUACAGUAUUUCAAAAUGCGCCGGAACAGACUUGGAAAGGAGGACUGGGUGAACAUCAAGUGGCAGCCGGGCCAGAUAACCCACAGCUGCCAGAAAGAUGGCAGCAGUUGUGGGAUCUUUGUCAUGCAGAUGGCCGAGAUGACGGUGAUGGAACUUCCAAAGAUUCCUCAGCAUUUUCGCAUCAACUCAUCUAAACAAUCUAUUGAAAAGCUAAG